GGAAUACGUUCAACGGAGAAGAAGACCUGUUUUCCGUCGCUAAAGAUCCAGUGUCCAACGUGUGGUGCUCGGUACCUACAACAGACUGUAUCUCUUUAUGUUAUUUAGCUCAGUAUGCUGCCAUGUCUUCACCAAGGAUGUCAUAAGUUCAUAUCACUAAUAAUAGUGAUGUGAGGGCCCUAACAUUUCCUGAGUAGUGUCAAAACAUAUAACCAACAUGAAGGUAAACUCAAACAAUAAAUGCGAUAAAAAAGGGAAGACCGGCGUACUGCAACAAUGUUAUGACAUUGAAGGUCAUAUUAUCAUGCAAAGUACAGCAUUGUGAAACCAAUAAAAGCUUAAUAAUUGUAAUAUUGUGUUUAAUUGUCUGACAGUUAUUGUACCAAGUAAAUGUGUAAUUGUGACGCAGUUGACCCUAGUGUACACUCGUGAAUUGCUGCCACUAUACAUGUUACGUUCCCUAACUGGCUCUUCUCAGGGGACACCAAAAAUGUCUUGACAGGAUCAGCUAACGACAGCUGUUGACUGUGGGACUGGUGGGUGAAAAGAAAAUAGACGUUAUAGAAGUUUCUGAAUCCCCGGGAGUUCCAGUAGCAGUACAGCACCAAAAACACACAGAUAGUGUCUGCCGUCAAAACACGUGGGUUCGGUUUCAGCGGCAACGUCAUAUGUUUUCCACAGACAAGCAGAUGGACUAUCAGUGUUUCAUGAAGUUCUUUGACUUGAGGGAUCCACAGAUCGUAUUCCGGAGAAGUCCUGGAGAAAGCUGAGGAGCACAGCAGGCACAUCAAUGACAUCCAGACCUCACCAUGUUCAUCAGUGCCUCAAAGGACAACACCGCCAAGGUGAGUACUCUUAUGGAAAUGAUUGAUGUGAUAACAGUUGUUGAAAAAUGUUGUCAUCAGAAUGACACCUGGCUGGCCAUCAAGAAGAACGUAGAGAAGAGUUUUGUUGUUAGCCUUAAAGAUGAAACCUGAGUUUUUAGUUUUUGAAGGUGAAUAAAGAAAAGAGUUGUCUAUGAAGAUUCUCAGCCAUCAAGGUCAAGGUUGAAGAGUUCUGUUAGGCAACUGGACAUUACAUUUUUCUUCCCAAGAAGACGUUUCACCUCUCAUCCAAGAGGCUUCUUCAGUUCUAACUGGUGGAGGGGAGUACAGUAGAUAUAUACUGUGGGUAUGACAAAAAAUAAAGCUACUUCAGGUCCCUCCUUUCGGGUGGGAUGUUGGGGUCAACUGGGGAAGUGUUAACAGUCAUUAGGAGUCUGAUGGGUCGUUGUAUUUAUGCACAUGUAUUCGUGUCCAGUUGCCUAACGGAAGUCUUCAACAAAGAAAAGAGUUAUUGUUUUCCCUUUAACUCUUGGAUUUAUCGUUGUUUAUACAUGUGUGGAAUUGUGAGCUGACCAGU